UUUUGAAAGGCAAAUCAUGUCAGAUAGACAUGGUUCCUCCACAAAAUUACUGUCUUUGGGAAAGAUGAGGUAAAAAUUCAGCCAGAUUCUCCUCUCACAUAAACUCCAGACCACGUGGAUGUCACAGCCAGGGGCUGCCUCAAACAUGCUGUCCGGUCAUGGUUUGUGUUAACGUCAGAACUCAGUACUACGGACCCUGGUUUUCUCAGGGGUAGCAAAGGAUGACUGAAACAGCACCAGAAGCUUACUCUUUCAUCUUCAGCCCUCUAUACGCUUCAAACACACCACGCACCAUCCCACAGGCUCAGGACUUCCGUGGAUCACCUGCCAUCUCAGCAAGAGAGCUCAGAAUCCCAGGUCAACAAGUAUGAGGCUGGAAAGGACUCUUCAAGACAAGCUUCUCACACACCUUGGGCUGUUGAUUCUGUCCAGUUAACCACUGUUGAGCCUGACCAUGUAAAUCUAACAGUGUAAGUUACGUCCAGG
ensembl:lncRNA